rnacentral:lncRNA from 1 species
AGCUGGGACCGAAGACUCUAGGCUAAGUUAUCUAUGUAGAUGGUGUCAGGGAGCGAAGCUACUGACCAAGCUGCUGUUACAUCCAGCUUUUUCUUGCCUAAGCGGUCUCGGGCUUGCUUCGUCAUUUGGCUUUGCUGUGGAGCACUCCUGUAAAGCUAGCUGAAUUGUACAUCGAAGAUCCACCCUUUUGAUCUCCAAAUUACUCUUUUGCAUCCCUGAAGGCUACCUGCAGUAAUAAAGAAAUUCCUCUGCCUUUGAGUGACUCCAAGAGACAACGUAAAGGCAAGACACAGCAGCUUCACGAAAGCGCAACAUAAAUUUGAAUAUGCUCUAAAGAGGGGGCAGUUGUCACCAUGGUGAUUUUAUUCUUUCCUAGAUUGAGCUCAAAAUGAAAGGGGAGCUCAAAAUGAAAGGGGAAGAAUUUGUAAAGCAAAGAUGCUGAAAUAGGUGAAUCAAAAAUCUGGAUACAAUUUCCAGUUGUUGUUCAAAAUACAGUCCUUCAUUUGAUGUUUGGAGCCUAUAUUUGGGAUCAGACACUCAAGAUAGUGAUUGUUACGUAGCCUGAGAAAGUGUACUUCUAUUGUUAGAAUAUUUGUAGAUAAUUGGAAAGCUCUCUAAUUAUUAUUAAUAUUCUACUAAAAAUGAUUAUACUGGCCUUUCCUCUACUAACGUUAUUGAGUGUUUACUAUUCACUAGGCAAUAUGUAACAUUCUUUGCAUGCAUUGUUUUAUUUAAUACUUACAAAAAUCUAUGAGAUAGAUGUUACGACUAUUCCCAUUUUAAAGAUGAAGAAACUAAGGUUUAUGCAUUCAUGGCAAACAUUUUUAUAAGGAUACAUCACUGCAAAAAAAGUCUGAUUCAAAAUCUCCUGUCUUUUUGAAGUUGUGUUUUACUGGUUUGUCUGAUCACACAGCUCCUAAGUGGCAGAUACAGGAUGCAAACCCAGGUUCAAAUUAUUAAACCUUAUAAUAAAUAAUGUUCAAAGCCUAUGUCAAUAAUCUAUGAUUUUAGAAGCCUUAUUUAAGAUUGGGCAUACCUACAGGUCAAAGUUUUAAGCAGUACAAGGUAGGAAGGCUGCUGAUGUGAGCCUGGAGUGCUCACGGUGACCAUUACUCUUGUAUUGAUCACUCUGAGAAUUUCAGGAAUACGCUACCAAGGAUAUAACUUCUUUCCAAUCACAUGUUACCUAGGAGAAGCCUCACUAGACCUCUGACAAUUCCUAUCACCCACAACUAAAGGAGGAUUCUAUUCCAAUCGGGAAGGGCCUUCUCAUAAACUGAGAAUAUGAAGCAGAGAUUUAUUGAAACCAACCCUGGCUGCCGUUACAGUGACAGAUGUCACAGCUAGAC